GCCCAGGUGGCGAAAUCGGUAGACGCAGCGGAUUCAAAAUCCGCCGGGUAAAACCGUGUCGGUUCGAGUCCGACCCUGGGCACCA
rnacentral:tRNA from 1 species